GGCACCCCCAAGUGACUUUGCCUUUCCUUGUCCUUUAAGUAUUUAUAUUGAAUGGCAACUAUGUUAUUUACACUAUGUAUAAUAUUUUAUUGAAUGAAACACUGGUUUUAUGAUGUAAUCAUUUAUAUAUUAUAAUUAUACAUAUGCACUGUUGAAGGUCAGAGAUUGGCCCUUUUGAAUUUGCACAUUCACGAGUGCAUUGGAUAAUUACAUAAUGGUCUGAUGAUAGGAAUUGGGCAUAUUUCCAAUUGGUUUGCUUUGAGAGUGUAUUUAAAGUUGGUUUGAACACUAUUGUUUUAUCCUUGAGAAGGUUCUAUUGAAGCCCGAAACGUCGGAUUCUUUUAAAACAAUAUGUCUAAAAUAAGUUUAUGAUGAUUUUAAAGGGUGUACAGGUCACAGAAUAUUUAUUGCUGAAUACUUAUAUAUAUGAUAUUUGUGUUACUGCAACCUCUGCAAGUGCCAGCCUUUGGUUCUAGUACUGCACAGUGUUUGGGCAGCAAGCUGCUCAGCCUUCUUUUGGAUCAUCUGCUGCACCCAGUGCUGGAUCUGGCUUCCAGUUUGGCAACAACGCAAACUUCAACUUUAUCAGCACAAAUUUGUCGGGGAGAGUGUUCACUUUUGGUGCAAAUGCUGGAUCCACCCCCCAGCCACCUGCCCCAGGCUUUAUGUUUAAUGCAGCUGCUUCAGGUUUCAAUGUGGGGAAAAGCGUGUUAAAUUAUGCCAAUAAAUCAUGCCCAGUAGUGUUCAGUUUUGAAGGCUGCUGGCCUCUAGGCAGAAAAUGUAGGCUCUUACAUUGAAGCACAACUUUAUUCUGUCCACCUAGUUUUUUUUUUUUUUUUUUUUUAAAUCAUUCUUUAAAUGUCAUGCUAAAUAUUUGACCUUUUGCGUCAAGUACACUGUUUGUUACAAUAACUAACUUGGAAUGGAAUUAUUUUUGUUAUCUAGUCUUUUGGCAGUAGGACUAGUUAGAAAAAAAUGCUCCUAUUCAAGCAUGGGAGCAUUUUAUAAAAGGUGGCACCCCCACUUUCAGUUUGUAUUUCUUACAGGCCUGAAUUUUAAUGUAAGUGUAUGUCUGCUGCACAGUUACCUAUCAAAGUAAAGUAUUUCAUUUGGCAGAACUUUUCUUAAUUCCUUUAUUCUCUCCAUGUUAUUGCUUUAUUUAGGCUUCUAACAUUUUGUUUUUAUUUGCAAACAGCUUCUCUUACCCAAAAUUCAGCACUCCGGCAUCCAGUGGAUAGUUAUCAGGAGGUGGUGGCAAAAUGAUGAGAGAGAAAGGCUCUCAUUACUCAACAAAGCCAGCUGAGGAGCUUUGAGAUGUUCCUGGUGCAUGAACAGAAAAAUUUGGUGUCCGAACAUAUGCUUACCGGAUCCCACUAGCUUAAUGGAACAGUAACAGUAAAAAAUGUUAUUAAAAAAAUUAAAACUACACCCUCUAAAUAAUGCCCAUGUCCAGCUGCAUUGUACAUAUUUACCUUCCAUUUAGCCAAAAAAUCUUCAGUAAAACACCUCUCCACACUAUGGACACAAUUUUGAAGAAAGGCGGUAUGGCGACUAGCCCCUCAAUACGUGCGCACCCCAACAUCACUCCUCCUAACAGGAUAUCUGGCUGUAACCCGGAAGUUCAGUAUCACCGUGAAGAGGAGGAAUUGUUUUCAAAGACUGGGGGAGAAACACUCUGCUGGAACAUUUGGAGGAAAGAAACACUGCUGGAAUGGCUAGAGGAGAGAGAUGCUGCUGGAAUGCCUGGGGGGGAUAGACAUGCUGAGGAAAUAACCAGUGCAGGGAAGAACCUGGGUUAGAGGUGUGCGAAGGGGCAGGGACUUUGUGGGAAACACACUGGGGGGAUGGCUGUUGAAGGGAAAUGUUGGGUUAGAGGUAUGUGUGAAGGGGCUUUGUGAGAGACAUGCUGGGGGGAAACGCUAGGUAAGAGGUAUGCGAAGGGGAAGAGGCUUUGUGGGAGACACGCUAGGAUGGAUGGUGAAGGGAAGCCGGUUGCUUGUAACUUAGCCAGUUGCUAAGCGACGUCACUUCCGGAAGUGACAUCAUGGAGGCAGGAUUUUCAAAUCAAAACCAGGAAGAAGCUAACGGCAGCGUGCACGUAGGGGAGAAGAAGCUUUCAGGCCCUGCAAGAUGGCGGAGACCCUAUAUACUGCACGGAAAAGCGGCGAUUGGGAUUU